UUGAUGCCUCAGUUGAUAGAGAAUGAGACUCCUAAUCUCAGGGUUGUGGGUUCAAGCCCCAUGCUGGGCAAAA